UGCAUGGACCACGUAUGGUUGAGUGUCGUA
rnacentral:rRNA from 8 species